rnacentral:rRNA from 1 species
GAGCACGUAGGUGGGUUUGUAAGUCAGAUGUGAAAGCCUUCUGUUCAACGGAAGAAUUGCAUCUGAAACUGCGAGUCUUGAGUGUAGGAGGGGAGAGUGGAACUUCUGGUGGAGCGGUGAAACGCGUAGAUAUCAGAAGGAACGCCGGCGGCGAAAGCGAUUCUCUGGCCUAUUACUGACACUCAGUGUGCGAAAGCUAGGGGAGCAAACGGGAUUAGAUACCCCGGUAGUCCUAGCCGUAAACGAUGGGCACUAAGUAGAGGGGUUUU